rnacentral:rRNA from 1 species
UACGAAGGGGGCUAGCGUUGCUCGGAAUCACUGGGCGUAAAGCGCACGUAGGCGGCUUUUUAAGUCAGGGGUGAAAUCCUGGAGCUCAACUCCAGAACUGCCUUUGAUACUGAGAAGCUUGAGUCCGGGAGAGGUGAGUGGAACUGCGAGUGUAGAGGUGAAAUUCGUAGAUAUUCGCAAGAACACCAGUGGCGAAGGCGGCUCACUGGCCCGGUACUGACGCUGAGGUGCGAAAGCUAGGGGAGCAAACAGG